CCUCACGGCCUUCUCACCCUGGACAUGCCUGAUCUCAUCUGAUCUAGAAAGCUUAGUAGGGUUGGGCCUGGUUAGUACUUGGAUGGGAGACCACCCAGGAAUACCAGGUGCUUUAAGCU
rnacentral:rRNA from 1 species